rnacentral:lncRNA from 1 species
GAAGAUGAUAAAAUGAUUAGUUUGCUUUAUUUAUACAGUUUAGGGUGGCUUUUUGGUUUUUCUUUCUUUUUUAUUUUUGAGUUUUGACAAGUCAUUAAGCUUAAACAUUUAAAAUUAAUAUCCUAUAAACGAGGAAAUUGUUAUUUUAAAUCCGAAUUUUCAAAUGUAGAUAAUUCAAAACAUGAAAUUUAAAAUAAGUUAUUUAAAAU